AGCAAGUCAUCUUCAUGUAUGAUCCUGGUGAGGGUUGAGCUCAGUCAGGAAGGAGCCAGCCUUUGUGUCACAUGGCACAGCCAGUCCUCAGUGCUUCCAGAGGGAGAGCUGGUCCUAUGUUUGGAAGGUCCCCUAGGAGGACAGGAUCCUGUUCUGGUGAAUCUUAGACAAAUGCCACUCGUAGGUGACCUUGGAAAGGGAGUUUUGAGUCAUGGGCUUUCGGGAUAGUUGAGCAUUCUGUUUGAACUCGCCUAAAACUUAUGAAGAGUAGUCCCUUGCUGUGUGCCUUCAGCAUGGACCAACUGACUGACAAGUUCCGUGUCAGUCUGCAUCUGAGCUGAUGCUCAGUCGAGUUCAUGCAAGUUUCGUUCUCCUGGAGCCUCGUGGGACUGCCAGUAAGCUAUCCCUAGAGAAGCCAGGAGGGACCACAGUGGCCUUGGCUUCAAAGUCAGUGACUCUGUGUACAUGUACCUUCCUUUAUGGGAAGGAUAUUCACAAUGUGGCCACAUGGUGCUAGGACCUUUCAGGUCACCUAGUCAGAUUUCUCAAGGCCUUAGUAACCCAAGACAUGCCAGGUUAAAUACUGUGACACACUUAGGAACUGAGAAAGCUGGCAGCUAUGCUCUGCAAGGUGUGUCAGUGGCAUCAGCCAACAGCCCAAUCAGAGAUGCCACCUUGGCUCCUGGAGCUCUAGAGCAGGGUUGCAAAGCCACUUCCCAGCACUGAUGGCAAAGUCUUAGUGCCAGACUCCUUGGAGACCGAUGGGGACCAGGCAGCCUUGGUGUCCCUCUGCCCUGCCUCCUGUUGUCUUCAAGAGGCUGUGUGACCUAGUGAAGACACAUUCGAUGUUUAAGGGAGCCUUAAAGAUGCACACAUGCAAAAUUUAGUCAUCGACUGGACUAAGGUCUAUCAUGGCCUCCCUUUUGAUCCUGUCUGCGGGGGCUCCUCCAGCCCCUCCCUCCACGGCACCUCUUUCUGCUGGUCCUAUAGGCCCUUCCCCAGAAAAGAUUGCUUGAAGCAGACCAGAAAAACAUGGCCCUUGGGCUCCUAUACACUCAGCUUGCAUCUGAUCCUAAACAUGUCUCACCUUGAGCCUUUAUCUAACACACUAUGUCAUGGGUUAUGUUAGACACUCAGCAGCCAGAUGCAUGGAGGAUGGGGACUUUUGUUCUGCAUCAUUGGUUUGAAAAUGACUGGCUGAACUCCAGUUUAAAGUUUUCCCGGUGUCCCCUGAGAUUAACCAGCCUUUGACCCCAGGGCCUCCUACAGCCAAAAAGCCUGCCACCAUCACUGUAUCUCUCUUUAACCUGUGUGGCCUUUCAAGAGGAGUUUCCACUAGAAAAAUCAGGAACUCCCUACAGCUGCUCACCCAGCAUAGAGAGUAGGUCCUGUUCUCCUUCUACAGCCCCGGGGGGCGGGGCGGGGGGGUGAGAACAGGAAUCUAAACCCAUCUUCAAGUAGAUACCACCAGCCUGAUGGCCAUCUUGGCUUCCUGCUGAGCCACCAGGCACCACUCUGUCCUUGGUCCACAUUUAUAUGGCUGACUCCCAAGACCAGAGUAGGUUAAGAAUAUUAGAGUAAGAGCCUGACUCAGGCCAGAGAUGACCCUUGUCUUUAUCUAAAAACACUAAAAUCUGCAUGGAGAGGUUUUGAUUUAAAUAAGUGGACCACGUUCCUCACCGAGACUCCUCUGUGGGGGGAUGUGUGCUGACAUCUCUGGUUUUACUUCAGUGGAGUGUCCUCCUGGCUCAUCAGGAAAAGAUGUAUGGUCCCUAAUCAGGACAGAGUGUGAGAGGCUGCUGCUGCCUGGCCUGUCACCAGCCUGGGACCCCUGAGGACAUUUUCUCAACGUCAGACCUCAGCCAUCUUACUUCUCAGAAUCUUAGUCUGAGACAUGAGAAAUGGAGGCCGUUGCUUUUCUCCCAAAGGGGAACUUUAGUUAGGGGGGGUGGGUGGUUGAAUCGUGAGGAACACCUUUCAGAGAAUCCUGUGCCAACCAGAAGUGGACCAAACUGCGCCCAGGGUCAGCGUCACGUCUUGACCAAGCAGCUGGCAGCACCUGACACCUUAGUGGCGAUCAAGUACUACUGUUGGCAAAAGGCAAGGAGAAGCACCGUUUUGUGUCAUAGCAACCAGGCUGUUUCGUUGUCUUUUCAUGGGGUCAAAUAUGAAAACCUUGCAGUUCUAUGUAGAGGGAGAAAUAACGCUCUUCUCUCACCUCUUUCCCCAACCCAAACUCCACUGCAAACUCAUUUAUUCGGCAAAGACAAAUGCUUCAUCCCUGGGUCCCAGGUCCCAGGUGGUGAGGGCAGAGCAGAGGCAGGUGGCCCUCUGGGCUCCCUGGUUGGCACAAGGCACUGGGACAUCUUUCCCAGGCCCCUGGGACUCAGCUGUGCUUCAAGUCACACACAGAGCCUGGCCCUGAAGACCAGGGAGUGAUUGAGUCUUUCCUGGUAAAAUUGUCACUUUGGGAAAUUUCACU
rnacentral:lncRNA from 1 species